rnacentral:rRNA from 1 species
UACGUAGGGGGCUAGCGUUGUCCGGAUUUAUUGGGCGUAAAGAGCGUGUAGGCGGCCAGGUAGGUCUGCUGUGAAAACUGGAGGCUUAACCUCCAGACGUCGGUGGAAACCGUAUGACUAGAGUCCGGAAGAGGAGAGUGGAAUUCCUGGUGUAGCGGUGAAAUGCGCAGAUAUCAGGAAGAACACCCGUGGCGAAGGCGGCUCUCUGGGACGGUACUGACGCUGAGACGCGAAAGCGUGGGGAGCGAACAGG